UACAGAGGGUGCGAGCGUUGUCCGGAAUCACUGGGCGUAAAGGGCGCGUAGGCGGCCUGGUAAGUAGGGGGUGAAAUCCUGCGGCUUAACCGCAGGGCUGCCUUCUAAACUGUCAGGCUUGAGCACGGUAGAGGCAGAUGGAAUUCCCGGUGUAGCGGUGGAAUGCGUAGAGAUCGGGAAGAACAUCAGUGGCGAAGGCGGGUUGCUGGGCCGACACUGACGCUGAGGCGCGAAAGCCAGGGGAGCGAACGGG
rnacentral:rRNA from 1 species